UACGGAGGAUGCGAGCGUUAUCCGGAUUUAUUGGGUUUAAGGGGUGCGUAGGCGGAUCGUUAAGUCAGUGGUCAAAUUGAGGGGCUCAACCCCUUCCCGCCAUUGAAACUGGCGCUCUUGAGUGGAAGAGAAGUAUGCGGAAUGCGUGGUGUAGCGGUGAAAUGCAUAGAUAUCACGCAGAACCCCGAUUGCGAAGGCAGCAUGCCGGCUUCCGACUGACGCUGAAGCACGAAAGCGUGGGGAUCGAACAGG
rnacentral:rRNA from 1 species